GACAGAGCAAGACUCCGUCUCAAAAAAAAAAAAAGACAUUUACGGUGUCAUCAUCUUGGAAGGUGUCACCACCUUCCAAGAGAGCUUUCCCUUCCUGUUGCUCUUCAGUCUCUGCAGAGAGCCCAGCCUUCCUGACCUGUAUGGGGAGUGAGAGCACUGAUUUAUAAAAAGGACUCUUAAGACCCUUUUCUGGAGAGAUUGGAAAGAUACCAAGACAGAUCUUAGUUCAAACUUGGCUCUGCUUCUUUCUACCCAAGUGAUCAUGAGCGAGUUGUUUAAGUUCUCUGGUCUUAAUUUUCUGCCCACCUUUUAUUUUUCACUAAUAAAGAGAAGAGGUUUAAUUGGCUUGUCACAGUCCCGCAGGCUAUACAGGAAAUGUGGCGCCGGCAUCUGCUUAGCGUCUCAUGAGAGCCUCAGGAAGCUUCCAAUCCUGGCGGAAGGAAAGGGGAACCAGCCAUCACAUGGUACGAGUGUAAGAAAGAGAGGGAGAGGGACGGGGAGAGAGGAGGAAGAGAGAAAGAGGGAGAGAGAAUGGCCUUAACUUUCUUAUCUGCAAAAACAGAAGGGGAUGGCAGGAAGGGGAAGAUAAUAUUAGUGGCACACACAGAGUUAUUGUGAGGAUCAACUAGAAUGUGUGUAAAGUAUAGUGCUGGGUACAUAAGUAUUGUUAUAACAUCCUAAUCAUAAUAACUGUUAUUAUCUGUGGGCUCUAAGCAAAUAGUUUUCUAUUUCAGUAUAUUCUGUGCCAGGCACUGUUCUAACUGCUCACAUAUUAACUUUUUAAAUCCUCAUAAUAACUCUUAUGAAUUAGGUACUAUUAUUGUAUCUGUGUUGUAGAUUCAGAAGCCAAGGCACAGAGAGAUUAAGUAAUUUGCCCACAGUCUCAUCCUUAGAUAGUGACAGGGCUAAGAUUCAAACCCAGGAAGUCUGACUUCAAAGUCUGCAUCUACCACUUCAAUAGGUUAAAGGGUGAGGCAGGAAUCAAAGAUAACUGAUAGAAUUGGCAGCAGCUCAAGGUGAAAAGAUCAGAGUGGAAUUGCAAAUUGAGAGCCUGGAUUAGGCAGGUUCCUUUCGCCUGGUGCCCAGAGUAUGCUGAGGGUGAGGAGUGAGUGAGGAUUGGGCGGGUCCCACAACAUCAAAGCCUCACCAUGGACUGUUUACCUCACAAAGUAAAUUAAUCUAUUUUAUUUUAGAGUGACUGGUAAGUUUCCAAGUCUUUUUCCAAGCAAAUUGGAAAAUAACCCAUGGAUGACUAUGACUAAGGUAACUAUGUGCAUUUUACUCUUUUCUUUCUUUUACCAGGUAAGAGGCCAUCCUAGGAAACAAUCCUGUGAGUGAUAUUCCAUGAAUUAUCUUCAUGAACCAGAACAAGUCACUUUGCCUUCCUGCACCUUCUCUGAGAUGGAAGAAUGAUCUGAAAAUAUGCCUCCCCAAUGAACCUCAGCCCUGGCUGGCAGAUCUGGCUGGCUAAUGGGAGUCCCCUUGUCCUCUCCAUGGCUCCUGUGCCUCCCCUUCAAGACUGUGGUUCUGAAUCUAUGAAUCACAAAUUAGAAUUGGUGCCUUUGGAAGAGGAGAUGGGACAUGAAGCCCGCUCCAGCUUCUGGUAAUGCCCUAAAGAGCAGCUCAAAAUACAGCCGAAAGAACCCAGAAAACAAAAUAGGUAAGUCUUGAAGAGAGAUCAACAUUAGGAACAUAAUAUUCACUGAAUGUAAUUCUGUGGUCUGUUUUAUACUUUAUUCGAUGCAUCCAGUGAGCUCUAUUAGUCACUAAAGCGUUUUAACAAAUAAAUUACAAAACGUUGAUACCCUAAGAAGAAAUAGCCUCAUGCCACUUGUUGCCCCUUGUUGCCCCUUGGCUCUCAAAACUGGAAAGUCCACAUACUUAUAGUGGUUAUGAUAGUUUAUCAAACUGAAGAAAAAAAGCCUGAAAAACACUCCAGUAAUUCCAGACACAAGCAGAUAAUCUAUUCAGUCCUGUGUAGUUGCAGAGAGUAAAUGAAGAAAAGGAAUUUUUUUUCUUCUCCUCAGGGCAGAGAUGUUUUUCAGUUCUUUUUUUUUUUUUUUUUUUUUUUUUAAUUUUAGCACUUGAUAUUCCCUUGGGAAGUGUUGGUUACAACAAAACACUAUUUAUUAGAAUCCCAGUAUCUGAAAUUAAUCAAAGAUAGAUUAGCAUGCCAGUCUCCUCUUUCCUCUUUUGUAAUAAAAGAGCAAUAGUCAUUUUACUAUUGCUAAAUAUCAUUUACAUUUAGUCAUUUACUAAAAAUUGUAAAAAAUUUCUUAAUAUAAGCAUAAAGUUACAUAAGCCGAAGAGAAGAUGUACCGGAAGGUAAAUAGGCAUGGCAGAGGUUUGAAAGGCUGUUAGGCACUGGAUUAUAAUCCUUCUCGGGUAUGGACAACAUCUGGGUGUUAUUUUUUCUCUCAUAGCCAGUUCAGUACUCACUGUGCACGAGAAGUGCUUGAGUGAGUCUUUGUUAGUAAAUGAAAAGCAAAUUAAUCCACUUUUCAGAGCUCUCUUCAGAGACCUGAGCCUGAACAAGACAAUUCUCUAAAGGACAGAAUAUUUGGGAAUGAAAAAUAGGACAUUAUAAGAUGCCGUUUGUUACUUUUUAAAUCCCGUUUUCAUCCUGGCUACACUAACUUUACCCUCAAGGGCAGGAAAACAGAGGACCAGAGAUGGCUCCAGGCAAGUCGUGAGUUGUGUGUCAUCAGCAUCUGUCUAUAGUGGUGAUUCUGGUGCUGACAUGUGGUGGUUUAUUUAAUCUAUUUGGGCCCCAGCAUCUGCAUGUGUAAAAGGGAAUGAUGAUAAUGAGUAUUUUCCAAAAUAUGUGAUUGAAGGAUUAACUGUAUUUGAGAUAGAGUAGGCCUCAGUUCGUGUCCGCUAUUAGCCUUAGUCUGUCUACAGGAACCAGAAGUUUCAGAUUGGGAGAAGCCUGGUCUUUUAGUGAGAUGCUUUCUUGUGGCGGGACAAGGAGUUGGUGUGAGACCAGAAACCCAGCCUCUCAGGAGCAAAAAAAGAGGGGACUGGAUGUUCUGCUGGUGAUUCUGAGAUGAGUGUUAACAUCAGAUGUGGUUGUUAGUCUCCAGAUUGGCAAACUGAAAUGUUUCCUUCAUGCACUUCUUUGUUUUUGUUUUUGGUUUUGGUUCUUUCUGCUGAUAAAUAUUCUUACUCAGAGGUUAUUACUGCAAAUAAUAAAGAAAAAUACUGGUAAA